rnacentral:rRNA from 1 species
AUAAUAAUUUGUUUUUUAAUUGAAAGCUUGAAUGAAGGGUUGAACGAGAGGUGGCUAUUUUUAAUAUUUAAGUGAAAUUGAAAGCAAGUAAAAAAUCUUGGUUAUUUUGCUCAGGGACGACAAGACCCUGUAAAGUUUAAAUUUUUAUUUUUUGGAAGGGAGGAAGGUGUCACAGGUAAGAUUUUAGCUGGGACGGCUUGUCUAUGAGAGUAGCUAGAUUAUGUAGAACAUUUUUAAAGUGAGCUAAGGAGGCCCUCAAGGAGGGAAAGAAAUAACUACUUCGGGGGUAACAGCAUUAUUCUUUUGAAAGUUCAUAUUGAAGAAAGAGUUUAUGACCUCGAUGUUGAAUUAAGAACUGGGAGACGUGCAGAAGAUCAACCCGUAGGGUCUGUUCGACCUGUGGUUUCUUACAUGAUCUGA